UACGUAGGGGGCAAGCGUUAUCCGGAAUUACUGGGUGGAAAGGGAGCGUAGACGGUAAUGUAAGUCUGGAGUGAAAGGCGGGGGCCCAACCCCCGGACUGCUCUGGAAACUAUGUUACUAGAGUGCAGGAGAGGUAAGCGGAAUUCCUAGUGUAGCGGUGAAAUGCGUAGAUAUUAGGAGGAACACCAGUGGCGAAGGCGGCUUACUGGACUGUAACUGACGUUGAGGCUCGAAAGCGUGGGGAGCAAACAGG
rnacentral:rRNA from 1 species